AAAGCUCUGACACAAUUGCAUGAUUUUGACAACAAUAAAUCUUGUCAUACUAUAGAUCGAUAACACAAUAUUAAGAAUGUAAUUUAUCUUAAUCCAACAACAAUAAUGUAAUUUAAACUUUGAACUUUAAGAUAGUACUCACCGAAAUUGUCAAUGCAAAUGUCAAAAUUUUAAACGUUAGAGCUUUUUAUUAAAAUUUAAGUAUUUGAAAUGGCACCGACAAUAAAACAACAACUAGAAGAACAGAAACCCCUACAUGUGGAGUACGAUCUUUCCAUGAUAUCUUUAUUAGGAGCAACGGUUGGACUAACUCUAUUUUUGGUUUGCUGCUGCUGUGGACCUGGAGGAAAUCGAAGACCCAACUAAAAAUUAUAUGUUUUGAUAUGAAUAAUAAUUGAUGAGUAAUUUAGUUAA